GGAGGGGUGCAGGAGCGGUUGAACUGGACGCUCUCGAAAAGCGUUGUGCCGCAAGGUACCGUGGGUUCGAAUCCCACCCCCUCCG
rnacentral:tRNA from 1 species